GUGAAUCAUCGAAUUUUUGAACGCAAAUUGCACUCUCGGGAAUUCCGGAGAGGAUUCCUGUUUGAGGGGCAGUUUAAAUAAAAAUCGGUGUGGUUGCUGCCUUUCGUGGUGAAGGACCGGAUUUGGGUAGUCUGGGCUUCGGGUAAGUGACCUAAAAUUUUGCAUGAGUUUUUCGAACGUAUUUAAAUGGCUUUGAGGAAGGUUGCGAUAUCGAAUACUAGGUGUGGUAAUCCUCAUGAUUGGCGACUAUAAGAUUUCAUCAA
rnacentral:misc_RNA from 1 species